rnacentral:ncRNA from 2 species
AAAUCUCAGUCUAUUUUUGUAGGAACAUAGAUGUCUUCAUCUAUGGGAAGACGGUGCAAAUCCGUCACGGUACCCGCCGCUGUAAGAGGGACAAAAGGCACAAGAUGUCACUGGGUGUAAAACCUGGGAAGACGUGCUGAGUAGGACGAUCUCGAGUCAGAAAACGACCUUACAAAAAUCCUGAAGCUAC